GACACGGCAGAGCAACUUCUUUCUUACGUCCGGCAUGCGUUCAGAACACGAGCGGGUCCCAGGGACUGGCCUUCAAAUGGUGCAAGUCCUAUCUUUCUGAUAGACAACAUUCCAGAUGCAGCAGAUAUCUACACUACUACACAUGGUGCAGCAGCUACUGGCCAACAUUGCAUGCCUGACAGAACAAGCACCACCUUUUUGACAGUUUCGUGAACAGGAAGAGGAAUUGCUCGUGUGGCUGCAACAAUUUGAAGCAGACAUCCUCACUUACAACAUACCAGAUUCACAGAUCCAGAGGACAGCGCGGCCACAGCAGCCACAAGAGGGUGUCAUCAUGACACUGUGGGACGACCCCAUGGAGACGGAGUCUUCGCCUCCUCCAUCUCCUCUCAUC